UUCUACCUCCCCGGUAUUUCCUAGCUCAAAGAACCUCCAAUCGCUUCCUCAACAUUUACAUGCUGCCCCGUCUUUCAUUUCAUCCCACUGGGUCUCGACCCAUAUUGUCAAAUAUGGGCUGUGCUUUUUGCAGUUUGAGAUUUUAAUCUUUAGGCUGUGAUUUUUGCAGAUUUUCAGUUUGUCAUUUUUUAUUUGGACAAAGCAUAUGUAGAAAAAGGCUGAAAUGCAGGAAAACUUUAAGGGAUUAGUUGAAGAUGAAUGUCCUGAUAAUUUAAAGGCACGGAGAAGAGCUUAGGUUGGGCAACUAAAGUUUUGGAACUCUACUGAUGUAGGCAGACCUUUGUAAUAUUUGGCUAUUGUAAAUUGUAAUCCACAUUGGUACUUUAUAUUUUAUAAGAAUGGUUGUUGUA